CUGCGGCUGCUUACCAUGCAAGUCGAACGGGCGUAGCAAUACGUCAGUGGCAGACGGGUGAGUAACGCGUGGGAACGUACCUUUUGGUUCGGAACAACUGAGGGAAACUUCAGCUAAUACCGGAUAAGCCCUUACGGGGAAAGAUUUAUCGCCGAAAGAUCGGCCCGCGUCUGAUUAGCUAGUUGGUGAGGUAAUGGCUCACCAAGGCGACGAUCAGUAGCUGGUCUGAGAGGAUGAUCAGCCACAUUGGGACUGAGACACGGCCCAAACUCCUACGGGAGGCAGCAGUGGGGAAUAUUGGACAAUGGGGGCAACCCUGAUCCAGCCAUGCCGCGUGAGUGAUGAAGGCCCUAGGGUUGUAAAGCUCUUUUGUGCGGGAAGAUAAUGACGGUACCGCAAGAAUAAGCCCCGGCUAACUUCGUGCCAGCAGCCGCGGUAAUACGAAGGGGGCUAGCGUUGCUCGGAAUCACUGGGCGUAAAGGGUGCGUAGGCGGGUUUCUAAGUCAGAGGUGAAAGCCUGGAGCUCAACUCCAGAACUGCCUUUGAUACUGGAAGUCUUGAGUAUGGCAGAGGUGAGUGGAACUGCGAGUGUAGAGGUGAAAUUCGUAGAUAUUCGCAAGAACACCAGUGGCGAAGGCGGCUCACUGGGCCAUUACUGACGCUGAGGCACGAAAGCGUGGGGGAGCAAACAGGAUUAGAUACCCUGGUAGUCCACGCCGUAAACGAUGAAUGCCAGCCGUUAGUGGGUUUACUCACUAGUGGCGCAGCUAACGCUUUAGCAUUCGCCUGGGGGAGUACGGUCGCAGAUUAACUCAAAAGG
rnacentral:rRNA from 1 species